rnacentral:rRNA from 1 species
UACGGAGGGGGCUAGCGUUGUUCGGAAUUACUGGGCGUAAAGCGCACGUAGGCGGACUAUUAAGUCAGGGGUGAAAUCCCGGGGCUCAACCCCGGAACUGCCUUUGAUACUGGUAGUCUUGAGUUCGAGAGAGGUGAGUGGAAUUCCGAGUGUAGAGGUGAAAUUCGUAGAUAUUCGGAGGAACACCAGUGGCGAAGGCGGCUCACUGGCUCGAUACUGACGCUGAGGUGCGAAAGCGUGGGGAGCAAACAGG